rnacentral:rRNA from 1 species
CUGGCGGCGUGCCUAACACAUGCAAGUCGAACGGAGUCAGAAAGCUUGCUUUUGACUCAGUGGCGGACGGGUGAGUAACGCGUGAGUAACCUGCCUCUGAGAGGGGAAUAACGUUCUGAAAAGAACGCUAAUACCGCAUAACGUAUCGAAGCCGCAUGACUUUGAUACCAAAGAUUUUAUCGCUUGGAGAUGGACUCGCGUCCGAUUAGUUAGUUGGUGAGGUAACGGCUCACCAAGACCGCGAUCGGUAGCCGGACUGAGAGGUUGAUCGGCCACAUUGGGACUGAGACACGGCCCAGACUCCUACGGGAGGCAGCAGUGGGGGAUAUUGCGCAAUGGGGGCAACCCUGAACCGCAGCAACGCCGCGUGAAGGAUGAAGGUUUUCGGAUUGUAAACUUCUUUUAUCAGGGACGAAGCUUGACGGUACCUGAUGAAUAAGCUCCGGCUAACUACGUGCCAGCCGCAGC